AGCUUUGCGCAGUGGCAGUAUCGUAGCCAAUGAGGUUAAUCCGAGGCGCGAUUAUUGCUAAUUGAAACUUUUUGUCUAAUAAAGCUAGUAUUUUCCCCUAGAUUGCAAGUCCCUACAUUAUCUUGAUUAAUUGCAUAUUGUUAUCACUA